GGAUGAACGCUGGCGGCGUGCCUAAUACACGCAAGUCGAGCGAACAGACGAGGAGCUUGCUCCUCUGACGUUAGCGGCGGACGGGUGAGUAACACGUGGAUAACCUACCUAUAAGACUGGGAUAACUUCGGGAAACCGGAGCUAAUACCGGAUAAUAUAUUGAACCGCAUGGUUCAAUAGUGAAAGACGGUUUUGCUGUCACUUAUAGAUGGAUCCGCGCCGCAUUAGCUAGUUGGUAAGGUAACGGCUUACCAAGGCAACGAUGCGUAGCCGACCUGAGAGGGUGAUCGGCCACACUGGAACUGAGACACGGUCCAGACUCCUACGGGAGGCAGCAGUAGGGAAUCUUCCGCAAAGGGCGAAAGCUUGACGGAGCAACGCCGCGUGAGUGAUGAAGGUCUUCGGAUCGUAAAACUCUGUUAUUAGGGAAGAACAAAUGUGUAAGUAACUAUGCACGUCUUGACGGUACCUAAUCAGAAAGCCACGGCUAACUACGUG
rnacentral:rRNA from 1 species